AACUUGGGCUGGCCCAAUCGGAUUUGGGCUGGGUUCAGGCUUGGAUUUUCUAAAAAUUUUUCGGUGUAAGCCUAGCCUGAAGGCCAAAAAAAAAAAGUAGGCCAGGCUCGGGUAUGUAUUGGCUGGCUCAGCCCGGCCCAUUUCUAGCCCUAGUUGAAACCUAGUCUUGACAUCAUAUGUUGUUAUUGUAGUGUUAAUUAACCAAUUCACCUCAAGAGUAUGAGCUGAUAGGAAACAGAUCAACAAUGUAUAUUAGGCUUAACAUGUAUCAAACCCAAAAUAUAUUUAGCUCUGAACCACA
rnacentral:lncRNA from 1 species